GAUUAACACAAAGGCAAAGAGAAAAGGCACCAACAGAUGUUCUCCAGGCCUUUUAGAACACAUGGAGUUGUUCCUUCGGCCACAUACAUGGAAACCUACAAGAAAGGUGAUAUUGUAGCCAGGUGCGAAGGUUGAUAUUUUAGACAUCAAUGGAAUGGGGACUGUUUAAAAGGGAAUACCUUACACAAAAAAACUAAUGCCCUACAAAUCUUACUAUGGCAAAACUGGAAGAGUCUACAAUGUUACCCAGCAUUCUGUUGGCAUUGUUGUAAACAAAAAAAAAAAAAGGAAACUAAAUAAGAAAGGUACCUGGGUUCAAUUGAAGCACCAGCCUACUCCACCAGUGGAAAACAGCCUGAGCUACUAGAACUUAUUCCCUAUGAAUUCGUGGCAUAA
rnacentral:lncRNA from 1 species